CCGGUCCGAGGACGGGAGGCGGGAGGGAGGGACAGAGAGGCACCACAGCUCCGGAGGUGCCCUUCAAGACGGCUGACCUAAGAUAUUUUGCCCAUGAUCCCCUUGAGACCUCUGAAUCUGUCAGUUCAUCUCAAAGUCAGGUUGCUGCCCUUCUUGCCACCAGCAGGGACAGAGCAUCUCUGAGAGCUUUGGCAUGAUGGAAGAAGCAAGAAGCAGAGGAGCCUCAGCAGCAAGGCCUAAACACUCAUCUGGAUGACCUGAGGUGUCAGUUCCUGGACAAGAAGACGUCUGACCUGAAAAUGGAGGUGAAGGAGAGCCAGGCAGAUGCAGGGAGACAUUACGUGUAGGCUUGAGCAGAAGCGUGUGAUUCGGGGUCUGAGGACUGGUACAGCUAAGUGUCCACAUCGUUCAUGGAGCCUGCAGUCACGCCAAGGAGUAAUCAUAGGACUCAACGCAGGAAGGCGCUUAAGUGCUAUGGAAUUCCACACCCUCCCUGACAGCUAUAUGAGCCGGGUGGCUGGGGCGGACCGAGAGAAAGCCCCACCGGGCUGGAGCUGUGUCCACCAAAGUUCUUCCGGCCGGUGGAAGGAGAGCUCCAUUUCCUGCCCCACACCUGAUCACCUGGGACACAGAGGUUUCUGGGACUAGCAGAGCCACCAGCACCUGCCAGGUGGCCAAGCUGAGGACAGUAGGCAGGAUUCCAGCUGCAGACUGCAUCAGGUGAAGCUCCCGCACCGACUCAGGAAUUGUGGGCCCUCGCCUCCCCCCCCAGAGGCGGGCUAUCUGUUUGCUUUAUAAGACAUUCGGCAGCCUUGGUGCUAUGAUGCCAAGAAAAAUCUUCAGCCCUAUUUCCACUCGUGCACUAAUUAUUAUAAUUUCACAGGUGUCAUGGGGCAUGGCUGGCCAGGGACGUGUGGGGCCACUUGGCCAAUCAUGUGAAGUCACAUCACCCAGCCACACUGAUAUCUCGCCUUCACCGUGCCUCUUGGAGUUGCUGUUUUCCUGCCUCUUGAAAGUGCUGCAUGACUUAAUCUGCUUCAGUGUUACUAGACAAGGCUGCUUCUUCUCCUUCCUUUGCUUUCUAUGGUGGGGUAGCCCAUGAAAUGCUUCCCAGAGAGCCGUGGGCUCUCAGUGUACUGGACGCACUCUAUGUAGGGUCAUCUCGGGGGAUUUUAGAAACACUGCUCAGGAAAGAGGUAAACAUGGCCUGCCAAGAGUGCUGGGUCUGGUGGCAGAUGAUACCACGCAACUGGAUGGAUGCAGCACCCAGGGUAGAGGGGACAGUGCACCCACAGGGACCGUUACAUGCACACCUCCAGCAGUGCCUGUCUCAGUUACUCUUCUCUUGUUGCUAGGACAAAAUACCCAGCACCAAAAAUGCAGGAAGAAAAGGUUUA